UGGUGGGUAGUUUGACUGGGGCGGUCUCCUCCUAAAGAGUAACGGAGGAGCACGAAGGUUGGCUAAUCCUGGUCGGACAUCAGGAGGUUAGUGCAAUGGCAUAAGCCAGCUUGACUGCGAGCGUGACGGCGCGAGCAGGUGCGAAAGCAGGUCAUAGUGAUCCGGUGGUUCUGAAUGGAAGGGCCAUCGCUCAACGGAUAAAAGGUACUCCGGGGAUAACAGGCUGAUACCGCCCAAGAGUUCAUAUCGACGGCGGUGUUUGGCACCUCGAUGUCGGCUCAUCACAUCCUGGGGCUGAAGUAGGUCCCAAGGGUAUGGCUGUUCGCCAUUUAAAGUGGUACGCGAGCUGGGUUUAGAACGUCGUGAGACAGUUCGGUCCCUAUCUGCCGUGGGCGCUGGAGAACUGAGGGGGGCUGCUCCUAGUACGAGAGGACCGGAGUGGACGCAUCACUGGUGUUCGGGUUGUCAUGCCAAUGGCACUGCCCGGUAGCUAAAUGCGGAAGAGAUAAGUGCUGAAAGCAUCUAAGCACGAAACUUGCCCCGAGAUGAGUUCUCCCUGACUCCUUGAGAGUCCUGAAGGAACG
rnacentral:rRNA from 1 species